CGAGGUUUAGCAAAUCUCUUAAAGCCGUUCUCAGUUCGGAUUGUAGGCUGCAACUCGCCUACAUGAAGUCGGAAUCGCUAGUAAUCGCGGAUCAGCAUGCCGCGGUGAAUACGUCCCCGGGCCUUGUACACACCGCCCGUCACACCAUGAGAGUUUGUAACACCCAAAGCCGGUGGGGUAACCUUUUGGAGCCAGCCGUCUAAGGUGGGACAGAUGAUUGGGGUGAAGUCGUAACAAGGUAGC
rnacentral:rRNA from 1 species